GUUUAGUAGAAUGUUCUUUAACCUCCAUGUAUUUGGGGGCUUUCCAAAUUUUUUCUUGCGGUUGAUUUCAAGUUUCAUAGCAUUGUGAUCUGAAAAUAUGCAUGGUAUGAUCUCAGUCUUUUUGUACUUGUUGAGGGCUGUUUUGUGACUAGUAUGUGAUCUCUUUUGGAGAAUGUUCCAUGGGCACUCAAGAAGAAUGUGUAUUCUGCUGCUUUAGGAUGAAAAGUUCUACAUAUAUCUGUUAUGUCCAUUUGGCCCAAUGUGUCAUGCAGAGCCAUUGUUUCCUUAUUGAUUUUCUGCCUAGAUGAUCUGUCCAUUGUUGUAAGUGGAAUAUUAAAAUCACCCACAGUGAUGGGCAUUGAGGAGGGCACUUGUUGGGAUGAACACUGGGUGUUGUAUGGAAACCAAUUUGACAGUAAAUUAUAUUAAAAAAUAAAAUUAAAUUAAAAUCACCCACAAUUAUGGUAUUAUUAUCAAUAAGUUUGUUUAUGUUUGUGAUUAAUUGAUUUAUAUAUUUGGGUGCUUCACAUUGGGGGUAUAAACAUUUACAGUUGUUAGCUCUUCUUGAUGGAUAGACCCCUUAAUUAUGAUAUAAUGCCCUUCUUCAUUUCUUGUUACAGUUUUUCUUUUAAAAUCUAGUUUGCCUGAUAUAAGUAUGGCUACUCCAGCUUUCUUUUGACUUCCAGUAGCAUGAUAGAUGGUUCUCCAUCCCCUCGCUUUCAAUCUGAAGGUGUCCUGUGGUCUAAAAUGAGUCUCUUGGUGCAUUUAGUCCAUUUAAAUUCAGAGUGAUUAUUAAAGAUAUGAAUUUAGUGCCAUUGUGUUAUCUGUAGAUUUCAUGUUUGUGGUGAUAUCUCUGGUCCUUUGUAGUCUUUGCUGCUUUCCACUCACAGAGUCCCCCUUAGGAUCUCCUGCAGGGCUGGUUUAGUGGUCAUGAACUCCUUUAGGUUCUGUUUAUCUGGGAAAGCCUUUAUCUCUUCUUCUUCUAUUCUGAAUGACAACCUUGCUGGAUAAAGGAUUCUUGGCUGCAUAUUUUCCUAUUCAGCACAUGGAAUAUUUCCUGCCACUCCUUUCUGGCCUGCCCAGUUUCAGUGGACAGGUCUGCUACUACCCUUAUGUGUCUUCCCUUGUAGGUUAAGGACCAUUUGUCCCUAGCUGCUUUCAUAAUUCUCUCUUUAUCUUUGUGUUUUGCCAGUUUAACUGUGAUAUGCCAUGGUGUUGACCUGUUUUUGUUGAUUUUGAGGGGAGUUCUCUGUGCCUCUUGGACUUGGAUGACUAUUUCCUUCCCCUCGCUCUUCUUCUUCUAGAACUCCUAUGAUACAGAUAUUGUUUCAUUUUAUGCAAUCCCUUAGCUCUCUAAUUCUUCCCUCAUGAUCUAGUAAUAUCAUUUCCCUCUUUUUUUUUCAGCUUCAUCAUUUUCCAUAAUUUUAUUUUCUAUUUUACCUAUUCUCCUCUGUUUCUUCCAUCCUUGCUGUCACUGUAUCUAGUUUAUUUUGCAUGUCAUUUAUAGCAUUUCUUAAUUCAUUGUAACUAGUUCUUAGGUCUUUUAUCUCUGCAUCAAGAGAUUCUCUGCUGUCUUCUAUGCUUUUUUUUUAAAGCCCAGCUAUUAGUCUUAUGACUGUUAUUCUAAAUUCUUGUUCAGAUAUAUUGUUUAUAUCUGUUUUGAGCAAUUCUCUGGCUGUGAUUUCUUCCUUAAUUUCUUUUGGGGAAAAUUCUUCUGUUUUGUCAUUUUGGUUAAGUAUCUGUCUUUGGCGUGUUUUAAUAGCUUGUUAUAUGACCUGCACCUGUGAGUACUAGGAUAUUAAAAAGGGGUCAUACACUGUCCAGGGCCUGGCACUUCAGAAAGUGUCCUGCACCUCGAUCCUGCAAAGCUGUCUCCUUCUAGCUGUGGAGAUCCUUUUGCUACUCUGCAGAUUGCAUGCACUCUGCUGUUGCAUUUUGGUUGCUCUAUUCCACUUGUCAGUCCUCUACAAAGCUCUUCCUUGCUUGUAGUGGUGGAAUGUUUGGGCCUUCAACCAGGUGUGCUGUGAUUUGUUUGUUGAAAUAACCCUGGAAAAAAAGGAAAAGGUGGGGGAAGACUGAUCCCAUAAAAAGAGAAAAAUGAAAGGGUAGAAAAGGAGACCAAAUAGAGAAUCAAAAACUAUAAAGCUAAAUCCAGAGAAAGAGAAAGGAAAAUAAAGAUAAAGAGAUAGAAAAGGCGUAGGGAAGUCGGGCCUGUUUUUUGUGGUGCCUCAGAGGCGGCAGGCUGCUUCAGGAUGAAACUGAACAUCUCUUUCCCAGCUACUGGCUGCCAGAAACUCAUUGAAGUGGAUGACGAAUGGAAACUUUGUACCAUUUUUGAGAAGCGGAAUGGCCACAGAAGUUGCUGCUGAUGAACAAGGUGAAGAAUGGAAGGGUUACCUGGUCUGAAUCGGUGGUGGCAGUGACACACAAGGCUUCCCCAUGAAGAAGGUGUCUUGACCCAUGGCCAUGUCUGCGUGCUGCUGAGUAAGGGGCAUUCCUGCUACUGACUAAGGAGGACGGUAGAAAGAAAGUGCAAAUCUGUUCAGGGUUGCAUUGUGGUUGCCAAUCUCAGUGUUCUCAACCGGGUCUUCGUGAAGAAAGGGAAGAAGGGUAUUUCUGGACUCACUGAUACUACUGUGCCUCAUCACCUGGGGCCCAAAAGAGCUAGCAAAAUCUGCAAACUUUACAGUCUCUCAAAGGAAGAUGAUGUCCACCAGUCUGUUGUGAGAAAGCCCCUUAACAGAGAAGGAGGAAGACCUCAGAGAUAAAGUGCUAUUCUCAUCAUGGGUACACACUGUCGACAUGACUCAUUACUGGGUGCUGCCCUUGAUCUCCAGGCUGAGGUCUGGAGCCUGGAAAUCCAAGAUGAGGGUGCCACCGUGGUUGAGUGAGGGCUUCCUCCAGUCACCGACUCUUGUGUCUUAUUGUAUCCUUCUGCAUGAUGGAAGGGGCAGGCAAGUUCUCUGGGACCUCUAUUGUAAGUGCACUAAUCCCAUUAAUGAGGACUCUACCUCAUGACUUAAUGCCUCCCAAAGGCUCCACCUCCUAAUACCAUCAAAUUGGGGGUUAGGAUUUCAACAUACAAAUUGGGGGGGGGGGGACACAAACAUUCAGACCAUAGCAAUCACUGUGUGCAGCCCACACUUAAGCUAUGGGGAGGUGUGCUCUACUUUCUUGAGAUUCAAGUAUGUACACAAAUUAUUUGGAAUUUUUCUGUGUGGGAGAUUUAUCUAUUUGCUUA